rnacentral:rRNA from 1 species
AGCUUGCUCCCGGAUGUUAGCGGCGGACGGGUGAGUAACACGUGGGUAACCUGCCUGUAAGACUGGGAUAACUCCGGGAAACCGGAGCUAAUACCGGAUAGUUCCUUGAACCGCAUGGUUCAAGGAUGAAAGACGGUUUCGGCUGUCACUUACAGAUGGACCCGCGGCGCAUUAGCUAGUUGGUGGGGUAAUGGCUCACCAAGGCGACGAUGCGUAGCCGACCUGAGAGGGUGAUCGGCCACACUGGGACUGAGACACGGCCCAGACUCCUACGGGAGGCAGCAGUAGGGAAUCUUCCGCAAUGGACGAAAGUCUGACGGAGCAACGCCGCGUGAGUGAUGAAGGUUUUCGGAUCGUAAAGCUCUGUUGUUAGGGAAGAACAAGUGCGAGAGUAACUGCUCGCACCUUGACGGUACCUAACCAGAAAGCCACGGCUAACUACGUGCCAGCAGCCGCGGUAAUACGUAGGUGGCAAGCGUUGUCCGGAAUUAUUGGGCGUAAAGGGCUCGCAGGCGGUUUCUUAAGUCUGAUGUGAAAGCCCCCGGCUCAACCGGGGAGGGUCAUUGGAAACUGGGAAACUUGAGUGCAGAAGAGGAGAGUGGAAUUCCACGUGUAGCGGUGAAAUGCGUAGAGAUGUGGAGGAACACCAGUGGCGAAGGCGACUCUCUGGUCUGUAACUGACGCUGAGGAGCGAAAGCGUGGGGAGCGAACAGGAUUAGAUACCCUGGUAGUCCACGCCGUAAACGAUGAGUGCUAAGUGUUAGGGGGUUUCCGCCCCUUAGUGCUGCAGCUAACGCAUUAAGCACUCCGCCUGGGGAGUACGGUCGCAAGACUGAAACUCAAAGGAAUUGACGGGGGCCCGCACAAGCGGUGGAGCAUGUGGUUUAAUUCGAAGCAACGCGAAGAACCUUACCAGGUCUUGACAUCCUCUGACAACCCUAGAGAUAGGGCUUUCCCUUCGGGGACAGAGUGACAGGUGGUGCAUGGUUGUCGUCAGCUCGUGUCCUGAGAUGUUGGGUUAAGUCCCGCAACGAGCGCAACCCUUGAUCUUAGUUGCCAGCAUUCAGUUGGGCAC